CAGCCCACUGUCAGCUGGAGCAGUGGUGGAAGGAAGAUUCAUGUUCAGGGGAGCAAUCUGGAAUUAGUGGAGUCAGUUACUGUACUUCCCUCUAAUAAAGUGCUGAAAACACAAUACAACACAAGCUCAGGGGAUGUGUGGUUUCACUCCCAUCCUUAUGACGGCCGUGGUCUGUUUAGUUUGCUGUUAAAUGUUCAGAACUCCACUGUGGACUGU